rnacentral:rRNA from 1 species
AGAGUUUGAUCCUGGCUCAGAACGAACGCUGGCGGCGUGCCUAACACAUGCAAGUCGAACGGAAUUAGAGAGCUUGCUCUUUAGUUUAGUGGCGCACGGGUGAGUAACGCGUAGAUAAUCUGCCUGAUGAUCUGGGAUAACAUCUCGAAAGGGGUGCUAAUWCCSGGWAAGCCCACGGAGUCUUAGGACUUUGCGGGAAAAGGGGGGGACCUUUUGGCCUUCUGUCAUCAGAUGAGUCUGCGUACCAUUAGCUAGUUGGUAGGGUAAUGGCSUACCAMGGCUACRAUGGUUAGCUGGUCUGAGAGGAUGAUCAGCCACWYUGGAACUGAGACACGGUCCAGACUCCUACGGGAGGCAGCAGUGGGGAAUUUUGCGCAAUGGGCGAAAGCCUGACGCARCAACGCCGCGUGAGUGAUGAAGGCUUUCGGGUCGUAAAGCUCUGUCGAGGGGAAAKAAGUGUAGAGUGGCURAUAUCCRUUUUACUUGACGGUACCCCUAAAGGAAGCACCGGCUAACUCCGUGCCAGYCGCCGCGGUWAUACA